UACGUAGGGUGCAAGCGUUAAUCGGAAUUACCGGGCGUAAAGCGUGCGCAGGCGGCUUUGCAAGACAGAUGUGAAAUCCCCGGGCUUAACCUGGGAACUGCAUUUGUGACUGCAUGGCUGGAGUGCGGCAGAGGGGGAUGGAAUUCCGCGUGUAGCAGUGAAAUGCGUAGAUAUGCGGAGGAACACCGAUGGCGAAGGCAAUCCCCUGGGCCUGCACUGACGCUCAUGCACGAAAGCGUGGGGAGCAAACAGG
rnacentral:rRNA from 1 species